rnacentral:rRNA from 1 species
UACGUAGGGGGCAAGCGUUGUCCGGAAUUAUUGGGCGUAAAGCGCGCGCAGGCGGUUCAUUAAGUCCUCAGUCUAAGGCACGGGCUUAACCCGUGUUUGCAGGGGAAACUGGUGAACUGGAGUGCAGGAGAGGAAAGUGGAAUUCCACGUGUAGCGGUGAAAUGCGUAGAGAUGUGGAGGAACACCAGUGGCGAAGGCGACUUUCUGGCCUGUAACUGACGCUGAGGCGCGAAAGCGUGGGGAGCAAACAGG